rnacentral:lncRNA from 1 species
GACAACCACCGCGACGUCCCGAUAGGCACUCAUUACCCCGAAUACCGAUCGAAACCUUGCAAGGCUUAGCAUCAGCUCCGCAUCUCCCUAGUGAGCGACAGUUAUUAAAUCUCACAUUUCAAAAAAAAUCAUAAGUCAUUUCCAAAUCAAAAUAAUAAAAUAUUACUUUUUGGCUCACAAGGGCAUUUUCAUCAUUUUUCUUCGAAAAUACCGAAACUCGCCAAAAACAUGGUGUAAAAGCUAAAUAUAUUCAUACAUACUUUAAAUCAAAUAACUGAAGAAUAAAAUUACUUUUACAAUGACACGUGGGCCCCUAACUGACUAAGAAGAUGUAGGGCUAUGAACCCUUACUUCCUAUGAUGCAACUCCGAGAUUAAUUCUCGUCUUAAUCAACUAUCAACAAACUGUCCUGAGCCUGAAAAAUGGAUAGGAAGAGGGGUGAGAUUAAAUAAUCCCAGUGAGUAAACAAUUACCAUCAAAAGCAUCUAAAGCCGAGUAGAUGGAAAUAAUAUAAAAACAUUAUAUCUCAAUAAUGUUCAUAACACAAAAUUCGUUUCAAUCUAUACCAAAUAAUUUCUUUUCAUAAAAAUUUCCCGGCUUAUGAAUUACUUAAACUUGGCCCCUACCAAAAUCAUUCUCGCGGGUACCUUCGUCAAGGUAUCCCACUGAGACCGCCAAGGCUGUUCAAUGACCCAUACCCAUAAACAUGUUUUCACAUCUGACACACAGAUGUUCCUUGGCGUUGGCUGAGUCUCACUCUCACGUGGUGGCCCGAACGUGAGGUGCACUCAAAUCAUACCUCAGGAGAUACUUCACCCAACAUCUCUCCCCGGAGGUAAGUAUAUAAUUGAGUUACCGUGCCCCUCUCAUAGGCAGUCCACGGAAACCCCCACCACUGUAGUGACCGU